rnacentral:pre_miRNA from 1 species
UUUUAUGGAUAAACAAAAAAAGUGGUUUCUUGAAAUGGAAUCUACUCUUAGUGAAGAUACUGUGAA